GGGAAAGUCCAGACUACAAACCGAUUAAGGGUGGCGAAAGCCAUAGUGGUAUGAAAAUCCACUGUCCGUAAGGACGUGAGGGUUCGAGUCCCUCUCAGCCCA
rnacentral:tRNA from 1 species